rnacentral:rRNA from 1 species
UACGUAGGGUGCGAGCGUUAAUCGGAAUUACUGGGCGUAAAGCGUGCGCAGGCGGCGCGUUAAGACAGGUGUGAAAGCCCCCGAGCUUUAACUUGGGAAUUGCGCUUGUGACUGGCGUGCUGGAGUGUGGCAGAGGGAGGUGGAAUUCCACGUGUAGCAGUGAAAUGCGUAGAGAUGUGGAGGAACACCGAUGGCGAAGGCAGCCUCCUGGGCCAGCACUGACGCUCAUGCACGAAAGCGUGGGGAGCAAACAGG